rnacentral:lncRNA from 1 species
AGGACCUUAUCUAGGCUAGAGAGAAAGAAUAAAGAAAAUUAGACAAAAAAAGCCUCUUGUAAGAAAGAAGGAAGAAUUCUGAAUGCACCAAGACUCCUCGGCGUGCACCCCUAUUUAUAUUGCACGUAGGGGUGCAAACCAAAACAUCACAUGCCCACUCACACUUUAUCUCAUGCCCCCUUUCUAUUUCUCAUGCUCCAUAAAUUGUAAAAUGCCAUGUGUACAUCAAAGUUGGGUUGAAGAGGCGCCUUAUUUCAGAAGGACUCUUCGAUCUUAACUUACGGUGUUCACAUGAGAAGUCACAAAGCUUCUCUUAUUGGCGCCAUCAACCCUUACCUUUGGAUCUGGAAGAAAGCCCAUCCAAUGGCCAAGAUAGAGGGCACCAACUUCAGGAAGGGAGCAAGAGAUUAAGGGGCGUGGAUAAGUUAAAACUUAUCUCCCCAUUUGAAAUUUCCAAGGAGCGCUUCCAAGAGGUGGCGCAUGGAUUUAAUCCUUAUCUCUUCUCCUAAUUUUUCUACGAUGAGUUUAAUACUCGGAAGGACUCUAAAGCACCUCCUAAGACAUCUGAAAAUCAUUCGUAGAAUAAAAGUCAUGGAGAAAAAUAGGAAAGACCAAGUUAAGGGGCGCCAUCUCCCAUCCAUGCUCCAUGUGACAUAUGCGCAUGGAUUUAAUCCUUAUCUACUUCUCGUAAUUUUUCUACGAGGAGUUUAAUACUCAGAAGAACUCUUAGGCACCUCCUAAGACAUAUGAAAAUCAUUCGUAGAAUAAAAACUAUAGAGAAAAAAUAGAUAAGACCAAAUUUAAGGUGGUGCCAACUCUAUCCAUGCACCAUGUGGCUCAUGCGCAUGGAUUUAAAUCCACACGCCAAGAGAGAGACUCUCAGGCAUGUGGUUCCCUAGUUUUUGGCACCCAACAGCAAGCCCAAUUAAAACACUUCGAACCCAUUUCAAGACCAAAUCCAAUUUGGCUUAAAUUAGUUCUAAAUUAGCCCAA